CCUACGGGGGGCAGCAGUGGGGAAUAUUGGACAAUGGGGGGAACCCUGAUCCAGCGACGCCGCGUGAGUGAAGAAGUAUUUCGGUAUGUAAAGCUCUAUCAGCAGGGAAGAAAGAAAUGACGGUACCUGACUAAGAAGCCGCGGCUAACUACGUGCCAGCAGCCGCGGUAAUACGUAGGGGGCAAGCGUUAUCCGGAUUUACUGGGUGUAAAGGGAGCGUAGACGGCGAUGCAAGUCUGAAGUGAAAGGCGGGGGACCAACCCCUGGACUGGUUGUGAAACUGUAUGGCUGGAGUGCAGGAGAGGUAAGUGGAAUUCCUAGUGUAGCGGUGAAAUGCGUAGAUAUUAGGAGGAACACCAGUGGCGAAGGCGGCUUACUGGACUGUAACUGACGUUGAGGCUCGAAAGCGUGGGGAGCAAACAGGAGUAGAUACCCCAGUAGUC
rnacentral:rRNA from 1 species